rnacentral:rRNA from 1 species
UACGGGGGGAGCAAGCGUUGUUCGGAUUUACUGGGCGUAAAGGGCGCGUAGGCGGCCACCGCAAGUCAGUUGUGAAAUCUCUGGGCUUAACCCAGAAAGGUCAACUGAUACUGCGGGGCUAGAGUGCAGAAGGGGCAACUGGAAUUCCCGGUGUAGCGGUGAAAUGCGCAGAUAUCAGGAGGAACACCGGUGGCGAAGGCGGGUCUCUGGGCAACAACGUGACGCUGGAGGAGCGAAAGCGUGGGGAGCGAACAGGA